GUAGGGAAUAUUGGGCAAUGGUCGGAAGACUGACCCAGCCAUGCCGCGUGCAGGAAGACGGCCCUCUGGGUUGUAAACUGCUUUUAUCUGGGAAGAAAAAGGCCAUGCGUGGCAAAUUGCCGGUACCAGAUGAAUAAGCACCGGCUAACUCCGUGCCAGCAGCCGCGGUAAUACGGAGGGUGCGAGCGUUGUCCGGAGUUAUUGGGUUUAACGGGUGCGUAGGCGGCUGAUGAAGUCAGCGGUGAAAGACUUCGGCUUAACCGGAGCAGUGCCGUUGAUACUGGUUGGCUUGUGUGUCGGAGGGGUACAUGGAAUUGAUGGUGUAGCGGUGAAAUGCAUAGAUACCAUCAGGAACACCGAUAGCGAAGGCAUUGUACUGGCCGACAACUGACGCUGAUGCACGAAAGUGUGGGGAUCGAACAGGAUUAGAUACCCCCAGUAGUCC
rnacentral:rRNA from 1 species